UACGUAGGGGGCGAGCGUUGUCCGGAUUCAUUGGGCGUAAAGAGCUCGUAGGCGGUUUGGUAAGUCGGGUGUGAAAACCCCAGGCUCAACCUGGGGACGCCACCUGAUACUGCUAUGACUUGAGUCUGGUAGGGGAUCACGGAAUUCCUGGUGUAGCGGUGAAAUGCGCAGAUAUCAGGAAGAACACCCGUGGCUAAGGCGGCUCUCUGGACCGAUUCUGACGCUGAGGCGCGAAAGCUAGGGGAGCAAACAGG
rnacentral:rRNA from 1 species